CUGUAAGUCAGGCAACGAGCGAGACCCACGCCAACAGUUGCCAGCAUGUCCUCCGGGAUGAUGGGGACACUGUUGGGACCGCCUCUGCUAAAGAGGAGGAAGGAAUGGGCAACGGUAGGUCAGCAUGCCCCGAAUAUCCCGGGCUACACGCGAGCUACAAUGGUUGGUACAAUGGGUAUCUACCCCGAAAGGGGACGGGAAUCCUCCUAAAACCAAUCUUAGUUCGGAUUGAGGGCUGCAACUCGCCCUCAUGAAGCUGGAAUCCGUAGUAAUCGCGUUCAACAGAACGCGGUGAAUACGUCCCUGCUCCUU
rnacentral:rRNA from 1 species